AGUCGGUAAAUGUGCAAAUCUCUAGUUGCGCUUUAGCUGCUCUGAGGAGUUUCCCAAUCGAGCUAGGAUGGGGUAAGUACCUUCAAUUUGUAGCAAAUUAAUUGUAGCAAAAGAAGCCAACUGGGUCCCGGGUGAAGAGUGGGGAAGGGGUGCUGGGAUGGGUUAAGGGCAGAGGGUUUGGGGUCCACAGACAGACAUAGCAGCGUCUUCAGCAAGUGGAGGCCUAGGACAGCCUUAGGAAAGAGGCAGGAUCUGUGUGGCCUGAGGGCGGCUAACAAAGCCCUGGGUUUUUUCUCCUUUUUUCUUGCUCUUUCUCUCUUUUUUGUACCCAGCAAGUUAACUUGGUUUCCUCAGAGAUGGACAGGGUGUUCUGGGGCUUUGGAACAGCCUACAGCUUUUUCCACCUUCUGCCCUGAACUUUGCAAUGGGUCAGAGGUAGGGAAGCGAUGGGACAGUGUUGGUAUGAGGUCUCCCUGCACAGGUCAUCUGCUCAGGUAGCCUCAGACCCAACAGCUUCCAAGACUGCACAGACAGACAGAAAAGCAGACAGAGCCGCUCACUAUUUGGCACAAACCAGACCAAGAGAACUUACAAUAGAAAGUUUAUUUUUUGUUCCAGUCAGUAUUUUUUCCUUAAAAACAAAUACAAAAAAAAAAAAAAAAAAAAAAAAGCUGAUCACAGUUUGCUUAAAACAGCCAGACUUGGACAAUAUUUGUAACUUUGUUCACAAAAACAUACAUCACUGAAGCUGCGCUUAUAAGAGCCACUUCCAGAGUUCGUGCAAAGGGUCCUAUAAAGGCACGCAGGGACACACCGCUUGGAGUCACAGUUUUCAUCACAGAGUCACUAGUCACUACACGUCGAACAAGUUGUGUCUCAUCAAGUCACCUCUACAACAGCAUUAAUUACACAAGGAAUAUAGGUAGUUUGAAUAAAAAUAUCUUUAACAGCUUGGAGCUAUUGAGACAGGAACACUUCCACGCACAUGCACAGUUAAACAACUUGAGUGCAACACACAACAUUGGCACUAAACGAGAUUGAAGGGGGACUUUUUGUGUGUUUUUUUUUCUCUUUUCUUUUUUUGUUAUAGUUACUUCAAGUAACACAGCUUGCUUCAUAUAAAUAAGUUAAAACAUCUAUUUUUUUUCAAGACAAAGCCAUUCAGGACAAAGAGAUGAACAGAAAGCAGAUCUACUUAUACAGGCGCUAUAAUGGCAAUAAACAGGCUCAUGAUUAAAAGAUGAAUUAGGGCAACGAGAACAGGGCUUCUUCACAGAAGGAACACAAGGGAGUUUCAGAAAGUCACCUUAGUACUGACACUACGCGGGAUCCGCUAAUACUGCUCAGUACUUUAAACGCUCAGAUACUCAGGGACGGAAGGCCCCUCCUGCCGCGGCCAUGCUCAUGCUUUUCAGCUUAUUAUCUUUUUUCCACUUCAUUCUCCGGUUUUGGAACCAGAUUUUAAUUUGUCUCUCGGAGAGGCAAAGAGCAUGUGCUAUUUCAAUCCUCCUUCUGCGGGUCAGGUAACGGUUGAAGUGGAACUCCUUCUCCAGCUCCAGGGUCUGGUAGCGCCGGUUGAAGUGGAACUCCUUCUCCAGCUCCAGUGUCUGGUAGCGCGUGUAGGUCUGGCGGCCUCGGCGCC
rnacentral:lncRNA from 10 species